CUCGUACAAUCAUUUAUGUUUACAGUAAGCAAUGGAUCAACUAUCUGUCAGCUUCCGCGCCGAAGAAGAUUAGCAAUGCAAAGAAGACUAAACACUCUACUAACCCCGCUGAAAAGAGCCACAGAAAAAACAGCCUUUUGAUUUGAACAGCAUUCCCACUCUGUCCUCUUCUUUGUUCCUUUUACUUACCUUCCCUAACUUAUCUUACAAAGCUUUAGAAACCCAUUUCGGCAUUUCCUUUGCUUGUACUAGUUGUUACAUUGCUACACUUGGCGUUGUGGGCCCGGGAAGCAUUGAAGUGGUGUAGGAUAAUUAAACUUGUUUUCUUACAUAACUUUAUGUAGGGUAAAUAUUCUUUAAAUUAUGCAGACACCAAAAUUAAGGUACCUUCUAAAUUCUAUUGCCUUUAUUACUGCUCAUUCUUCGCUCGUGAGAGGUUUCCUAGUGUAUUUCGUUGAUGCAUUUAUGUAGUUAUUCUUGAAAAUUAAACUUAAUUGGUGGGUCAGUCAUCUAAACAAGUGCUUAGAUAGAAUGCAUUUAAUAUUUUAGGUUGUCUGGGUUUUAACUGGUGCCAUGGGGUACAGGGAAGAUUUUUUCUUGGAGUUCCUUUCUUUCGGGUUUUUAUCUUGUAGCUACUAUAAGGGCCAUAUUGUCUGGUAACCGUAUUAGGGUGCAGUCUCUUUCUGCAUGAAGGUAAAACCUUUUUGUUUGUCUCCUAUCUUGAGGAUAGGAUAAGCCAAUGCCCCUAAUGGUACUAGCAAAUAGUGUAAGUGAAGCACUUGAUAAAAUUUAUUUGUGGUUUAUUAUUUGUUGAGACCAUUGUGGAAUUUGUUCCUUUGUUUAUCACUUGAUUUAGGAUGUUGGUGGGAAAACAAGUAUAUAAUUGAAAACUGGAAUAAGGAUAGAACACGAAUAAACUAUAGAUUCCACUGAUUUAGGUGAUUUAAGGAUUGAUUUUUUUUUUUUUAACCUUCUAGAAAAGUUUUGUUUGGCUCUGUUCUAUCAGAAUUGGAGCUAACUUUCACAUGUUUGCUCAUCCAAAAUUGGUUUUAGUUUGUAAGUAGCUCAAAAGUACUCCGAAUACAAUGUGAUCGAUUGAACAUUAUGAGAUAUAUCUAAGGGGUUGAUCCUCUUCUUGACCUAGUGUCAGAAAGCUGGUAUUACAUUUUUUAUUACUUAUUUUUAGCAUGAUUUUAUGAAUAGUUUCCAUCACAUUAUUCAUGAUCUAUUUUCAAUUAUUUAAUAACAUUUCAACAAUUUUUUCCAUGUAAUUAAUACAUAAUUUAGGUAAUUUUUUUACCUUCAACCCUAAACCUAAAAUCAUGAACCCUAAAUCUAGAAUCUCGAAUCUUAAACCUAAAAUCUUAAACUUGAACACCGAACCUAUAACCCUAAACCCUUAAACUCUAGACCAAAACAUGAACCCCAAUCUCUUAACUCGUAACUCUAAACCAUUGAACACAAACCUCAAACCCCAAACACGUAACCUUAAACCUCGAACUCAAACCUUGAACCUUAAAUCCUAACUCAAACCCUAAACCUCAAAGUUUGAAGUUCAUGGUUUAAGGUUUAGGGUUUGAGUUCAAGGUUCAUGGUAAAAUAAAUACCAAAAUAAUGGGUCAAUGACAUGGAAAAAUUGCACAAAAAUUACUAUUUUUUAAAAAUUGGUUGGAACAAAUAAAAAUAUUAACUUAUGGAAAAAACAAAAUGAUCAAAAUUAUUUGAAGUAAUUUAAUUAAAAUUAAAUUAAGUUGGAGAAUAUAUUAGAUAUAAAUGAGCGUAUAAUAAUAUUUUGUUAUCUUUAAAAUUUAAUAACGUAGCACUAUUUUAUUGGUGCCUAAAAGCAAUACUACUAUAGAUAAAAGGGACUUUCUUGACACGAGGUUCUUUAUCUUUGUUUAACUUUUGUCUUCUUUUUUAUUUCUUUUUUUUUGUAUUUUAUAAAAUAAUGGUCAAAUUUUAAUUUGACCUCAAUAUUAUGUUGAAAUUUAAAAUUUGAUCUUUAUACAUUAAUUUGUGACAUAUUUCGAUCUCUCAAUUUUCAUCUAGUGUGGUGCAUUUAGUUUUUUUUUGUCUCACGUUAUAGUAUUUAAUCUCAUCGCCAUCAUUAUUUUUACACUAACAGUAGAUAAACACACCGUCCAUUCAAAAGAAUCUUAAAUUUCAAAUUUACAAAAAAAUAUAUAUAAACUUAAAACAUAUUUUAAUAUUUAAAAUUUUACUUAAUAAUAUAACUCGAAAAUAUAAUUAAUUUGAUACAAAACGUGGUGAAAAUCAUACUAAUAUAAAUUAAAAGAGGCAUGUGAAUUUAUAUUUUCUUAUUAUUCUCCCAUCAUUACUCAUGAAUGAUAUAAUUUCAUCGUGUAUUACGGGGUAUACGUCAAACUGCGCAGUGAAAGAACAGGAUGCAAAAAGUAAAAGACAAUUCCAUCCUCUGGGGUGAAGCCAAGUUAUCAACACGUGGUCAUCAAGGUUAUUAUUUUAUUAAUUUUCAGAAUUGUUACCAGAUUAGGAAAUGCUGAACCAUACAUAAAUUAAUCUCCAUUCCCAACAUCACAUCAUCGUCUUCACUGUGACAAAUGGCCAACUUCAAGCACUGUAUAUCCAGCUCAUGGAAAUGGGCGUCCAAUUACAUUCGGUUCUCCAAGGCCGCCAUAUUCAUCAGCGGCUUGAUAUUCAGCGACUCAUUUAUAGAUAUGGGGUUUAAAGCAUUCCUGAUAUCCUACAUCGAGUCCCGGGAGAACUUAUCUAUUGGGGGCCUUAUAGCCUAUGUAGCAGCUAUGGAUGGCAUACAACAAUUUCUGGCCAUUCUCAUUCACCACCUUGCAACUGAUCGUCUCGGUGAUUUCCGAGUCAUUAUCCUCACCUUGCCAUGUUUGAUCUUCGCAAGGAUUACUGAUAUUAUGGCUUUCUAGUUUGCUUCGAUCCCAACAAACGAGCAAUCAAAUGCUUUACAUAGCUCACCGGUAGUAUUGGUUGGCUUAGUCGGAAAGCAAGUUUCUUUACCAGAAUUUUUACGUCAGCAUUUUAUAGAAGAAACUAUUGUUGUUGAUAAGACAAAGUCGGAAAGACAACAGAACGAAGAUUACUGGGAUAUUGUAGAGGGUCGUGCUAGUUUAUGGUCUAAUGGUGCCGGCUUUCUUGGACAGUUCAUAUGUUGGACGUUCGCAUCAAGCCUUAGUUGGAAGCAAACGAUCAUGGUUUCAUUCAUCGAGGUGGCGGCGGCGGCGGCUUACGCACUUUUCAUCUGCGGCAAACGAUUUUACCUACGCAUACCUCCAACACGAUGAGCCGCUGUUUCUCGAUUGAAGGAAGCGAGGGGGCUUGUGAAAUUGAUCCCUCUUUGGCUUUUAUUCAUCCCUUAUUGUCUAGUGAAAGUUGUGGGUUUCUCCAUUUUCAUACUUCAAAGUGAAAGAUUGGAUACCAGAAUUAAUCCCAGGAUUUCUCUACAUAAUUCAUUUAAUAAAGUUCCCGUGAGCUCACUCUACGUGUUUAAUCAAUUCAUAAGCUUUUUAGUAUCUAUGUCGACCAAGUAUCUAAUAAGGAAGCUUUGGAGCAGUGAAGAAGCCAUGCAACAUGGUGCUAGAUAUUAGAGAAUGGGUGUUGGGAUGGCGGUUGGUUUUGGUUCCUCGUUAAGUGCUUGGUUAGUGGAGCGCCGGAGAUCAGAUCUAAUCAAGAAAAACCCUAAUCACAAGGAAGAUAUUCUUAUGACAAUACUAUGGCUGGCUCCUCAGUUUGGCUUGUUAGGAAUUGCCAAUGGACUUGUUCUCAAGGGGCUAACAGAUUUCUUUGAUGACCGUGUGCCUCAAUCCAAACAGUAUUUUGAGAUGCUAUUCAAUUUAAGUUUGAUGGUAAUUGGGGCUUUCUUAAAUGGGCUUGCUGUUUUGCUUGCACCAGACUGGUUCGGCGACACCAUUGACAAGUGUCAAUUGGACAAGUACUUACUCAUGUUGGCUAUUUUGAAUGUUGCUGUCUUGGCCCUUUACAUCUUUCUUUCCUUAAGGUUUGAUUGGAACGUACCGGAUGAGGUUGACGGAAGAGAUAUUGAGAUAUAGAGGAGGUGGGUGGAAAUGAUGUUGAGAUAUUAUAGUUAUUUAUCCUGGUUAGUCAAUUUUUAUAAGUUUUUAUUCGGUUAACAAUUAUUUUCGUUAUAAUUAUUUUUCAUUUUAAUUAACCUGUUAAUAUAAUAUUAUCGUAUACUCAUUUUUUUCUUAUAAAAAGAUAAAUUGAUUUUUCUUAUAACAA